CCGCGGUAAAACGUAGGAGGCGAGCGUUAUCCGGAUUUACUGGGCGUAAAGCGUACGCAGGUGGCUUCGUUAGUCGGACAUGAAAGCUCCUGGCUUAACUGGGAGAGGUUGUUCGAUACUGCGGGGCUUGAGGUUGGGAGAGGGACGUGGAAUUCCCGGUGUAGUGGUGGAAUGCGUAGAUAUCGGGAGGAACACCAGUGGCGCAAGCGGCGUCCUGGCCCACACCUGACGCUGAGGUACGAAAGCGUGGGUAGCAAACAG
rnacentral:rRNA from 1 species